GACGAACGCUGGCGGCGUGCCUAAUACAUGCAAGUAGGACGCAGUUGCGAACGGGUGAGUAACGCGUAGGUAACUGCCUAUUAGAGGGGGAUAACUAUUGGAAACGAUAGCUAAUACCGCAUACUAGUAGAUGUACCUGCGUUGUAUUAGGUAGGAGGUAGGGUAAUGGCCUACCUAGGCGACGAUACAUAGCCGACCUGGGAGGGGGGUCGGGCACACUGGGACUGAGACACGGGCCAGGCUCCUACGGGAGGCAGCAAGAGGGAAUCUUCGGCAAUGGGGGGAACGCUGACCGAGCAACGCCGCGGUAGUGAAGAAGGUUUUCGGAUCGGAAAGCUCUGUUGUUAAGGAAGCGGUACUUACACAGAAAGUGACGGCUAACUACGUGCCAGCAGCCGCGGUAAUAC
rnacentral:rRNA from 1 species